CUCAGAUAUCUUCAGACAUCGAAUAAAUCUUUCACCUUUUACUAAAGAUUUCUGUGAAGGGAAGAGACGCUCUAAUCACUGUAAACUCGAUUUUUGGUUGACAUAAUCAUGUGGU